rnacentral:rRNA from 1 species
UUCUCUGAUGUUAGCGGCGGACGGGUGAGUAACACGUGGAUAACCUACCUAUAAGACUGGGAUAACUUCGGGAAACCGGAGCUAAUACCGGAUAAUAUUUUGAACCGCAUGGUUCAAAAGUGAAAGACGGUCUUGCUGUCACUUAUAGAUGGAUCCGCGCUGCAUUAGCUAGUUGGUAAGGUAACGGCUUACCAAGGCAACGAUGCAUAGCCGACCUGAGAGGGUGAUCGGCCACACUGGAACUGAGACACGGUCCAGACUCCUACGGGAGGCAGCAGUAGGGAAUCUUCCGCAAUGGGCGAAAGCCUGACGGAGCAACGCCGCGUGAGUGAUGAAGGUCUUCGGAUCGUAAAACUCUGUUAUUAGGGAAGAACAUAUGUGUAAGUAACUGUGCACAUCUUGACGGUACCUAAUCAGAAAGCCACGGCUAACUACGUGCCAGCAGCCGCGGUAAUACGUAGGUGGCAAGCGUUAUCCGGAAUUAUUGGGCGUAAAGCGCGCGUAGGCGGUUUUUUAAGUCUGAUGUGAAAGCCCACGGCUCAACCGUGGAGGGUCAUUGGAAACUGGAAAACUUGAGUGCAGAAGAGGAAAGUGGAAUUCCAUGUGUAGCGGUGAAAUGCGCAGAGAUAUGGAGGAACACCAGUGGCGAAGGCGACUUUCUGGUCUGUAACUGACGCUGAUGUGCG